CAGAGUGUAGCUAAACUAGGAUAGCAUCUCCCUUACACUGAGAAAUCGUCCGUGCAAACCGGACCGCCCUGA
rnacentral:tRNA from 1 species